UGUUGGUAUUAUCUAGUGAAAUUUUUCGAAGAGAAAAAAAAACAAUAACUCUAGGGUAAAUGGAGGCUGGGGAAUGUUUGAUCCCCAUCUUCUCUGUUGCUGCACAACUUAAGCAGUGUUUUUCUUCUCCUCCGUUCGUUAAGAUCUGGUGUGACCGCUUUCGUUCCCUCGGCACUUCUCUCACUUCUUUGAAAGUAUCCGAGAUCUACCGUCUCCUUCGGUCCGAUGUGGCUUUCACCCCUUCACCUGUGGCGAUUAAUGCCGCCUUCCAGCUUUCGACUGUCUGGGGUAGAUGAGCCCGAGUCCGAGCCCUGCACUCACCUAUAGUGGCAAAUCCUUCAUCGGGCUCUAUCCACUAGGUAUAAACUUUCUUUAGUUAGGGCUCGAUCUUAUCUUGUGAUUUGUGCGAUCUGGACAUAGAAACAAUUGAACACCUUUUGUUCUACUGUCCUGUAGCCAGGAAGCUUUGGGGCUGGGUAGCGCGCCUCCUCGGCGUCCCUCUCCUGUCACGUAAGAACAUUGUUCUCCA
rnacentral:lncRNA from 1 species